GAGGAGGUGGUGAGGCGAGACCUCCUGUCUUCUGUGGGAAAAUAGGGAGAAACCAUGAGCUUCACUGACAGGGGGAGGCCUGGAAGCCGAGAGACGAGCCGAGCUCCUGCAGCGUGGGUGAGAUGAGGGAAAGGAAGCAUCAGAAGAAUGGAGAAGGUGAGAGGAGAGUGGGUAAGCAGUGCACAGAGACAAAUAAAGACACUGUGAGACUCAAGCAGUGGAAGAGAUGACAAAGUGUGGAUGGGAUGGAGACGAGACUUAAGAGGAGUCCGAGCACGUGACGGACAGGGGCUGCCCUGCUGUCAGCUGAUAUUUGAUUCUCCAAACCACUGCAGCUGUGGAGCUGUGUGCGAGGAUCACUCAUUCAGUGUGGGAUCAGAGCCUUACACUUAG
rnacentral:lncRNA from 1 species